CCUACGGGUGACUGCAGUGAGGAAUAUUGGUCAAUGGGCGAGAGCCUGCACCAGCCAAGUCGCGUGAAGGAUGACGGCCCUACGGGUUGUCAACUUCUUUUGUCAGGGAGCAAUUGAGUCCACGUGUGGUCUUAGCGAGAGUACCUGAAGAAAAAGCAUCGGCUACCUCCGUGCCAGCAGCUGCGGUAAUCCGGAGGAUGCGAGCGUGAUCCGGAUUUAUUGGGUUUAAAGGUUGCGUAGGCGGAAUAUCAAGUCAGCGGUAAAAAUUCGGGGCUCAACCCCGUCGUGCCGUUGAAACUGAUGUUCUUGAGUGGGCGAGAAGUAUGCGGAAUGCGUGGUGUAGCGGUGAAAUGCAUAGAUAUCACGCAGAACUCCGAUUGCGAAGGCAGCAUACCGGCGCCCAACUGACGCUGAAGCACGAAAGCGUGGGUAACGAACAGGAUUAGAUACCCGUGUAGUC
rnacentral:rRNA from 1 species